UUGAUCGUGGUUUAUCAAUCUAGCGUCCCUUGUUUGGUUUGUGGUGAGAUUGUGUUUAGACAUGCGUGCUCCGGUAGAUCUGUUGGUAGGUCACGAUGGAUUGUUUAUUUCGUUCAUCCAUUUUCUCCUUUUCAAUUGCUCGUCGAGAAUUGGGUAGUUUCCACACAUUGUCUGCCUGUUCAGGUAACCAUCAUGGGGGGUUUGUUCUUUCUUGGUGGGUUGGGAAUGGAAUAACCCGCCGAUUUCGUGUUGCAUUGCCUGCUUUUUUUUUUCACUUCUAUUUGUGUUACCCAUAUUUAUCUCUUCUGCAUGCCACAUUUUAGUUUCUAAGCACUGUUGCUUGAGAUACUUAUGCUUAUUACUCCGUCUGAAGAAUUUUCUUGUACCUAUACAAGUACUUAGAUUGGCCCUGAAAGAAGCUGUUUCUUGCUUCUGACUAACUUUGAGCUGUCAUGUGAUCUUUUUCAUUUUGAAGGUUGGGUUGUACACUUGGACUUGCAGGUCAUGCAGAGCUAUUCACACGACAUUUAUUUAUUUUUUCUGUUCUGGAGAAAACCAUAAGGACAUUCCAACUUUUUAGCUAACCAUGUAAUGCAUUACUAUGUUACUAUUAUAUACUAAGCCCCAUGUUAUGAAUGAAAGAGUUUAACUGAUAAUUCCUGCUGCCAAAUCCUGCUUGAAAGGAUUGAUCAUUUAAAAAUGUUCUGCAUUACUGCAGCAGCGUCCACUCAUGUUUCUCGCAUAUUGGCAAUCCUAUGCGGCUAUGCCCAUGGCAACCUGUUGUGUCAGAAAGGUGCACAAACAAAUUUCUCAAGGUACUGUUUAUUUUCGGGAUAAUCAUCCAAGACAAGAUCCCAAGAGCAAGCAAUUGUCUUAGCUUUAGGGAGCAAUAUGGGUCGCAGAAUCAGUAACUUUAUACACCCCUACAGCUCAUGAAAGAUUCAUGCAUUAUCAUUACACCACAUGCCUGCUGUUAUAAAAACCGCACCUGCAUGUGUCAUUGAUCAACUUCUGUUUCAAAACUCCAUUGUUAAGAGGGACAAUAAAGCUUGGACCACAUGAAUUACUCACGAAGCUGCUAAGAUAUGGGCUACAUUGAGCAAAGCUUGAGACAGCAAAGAAAUUAAGGACUUGGGCCAUACUGAUGGAACAAGAUAUGGCUUAGUCUAGACUAAUUAAUCUGGAUAUUAUUUUUCUGUGGUUAUCAACUCAUAAAAAAUGGUGAAAGAAUAGUUCGAUUAGUGCUCACCAUACAUCUAUGUAUGGUAAGCACUGGACAAACUCUGAAGCUUUGACAAUACUGCAUACUAAUUUACUGUUUGUUAUGGCUCCAUUGAUGGGUAUCUAGGUUUGUCUACUGAAAUUGAUAGUCUCAUCAAACUCCUGAAGAUUUUUAGGCAAGAGCCCUAUAUUGGCAAACAGACGUGCAACAUAAUUGGAGUGCACAGUGCUGGUACUGCAAAUAUAUGUGACAUGUUUCUGAAAUACGGAAAAACUUAAAAACUUUUUAAGGCAUUUUGCAUAUUUUAUCAAAUCCAGAAUUUAAUUCAAAUAUGUUCAAGUGUAGGAGCCCAUUGUCCUGCAGAGACUGAAUAACAAUAAGAUGAUUUUGACCCAUUCUCCCUAGAUGGGAUUUCCCCUGCCAUUUCAAUUGACAUUUUGCUAAAUUGAAUUCAAUGAUGUUUCUUCCUGCUCAACACAUUCAACAUCAAAAUUAAAUAUGUGCUUGUAUUUCUUUUAGUUGUUUUACAUAAUCGUUGUUAUACUCUCUUCCGCUUCCGUUUGUUAUAUUUUUUCUCUUUCUUGAAUCAUUUUCUUUUUUGGGUGUACUUCUGCCCUUACAUCUCAACAUUUACCCGAAAAUAGGAAUCCCUCUUUCAUGCUUGGAUGAGAACUAUUCCAUAUGAACUCUGUAGUCUUUUACUUCUUACCGUGUGUAUGCCUUACUGGCUUACUCCUUGCACAAUGUCAGCCCAGUGAUUCUCAAAUCCAAAUAGUCUGGGGAAUGUGCAAUGCAUCUGUAAACUCUUGUACUUGUUUCAUCACAUGGGAUGCCAUCAUGGCAGUGUGUACAUCUCCUGAGAACUGAGAUAGUCAUAUAGGAGAGAGUGAGAAAGAGGCUUGUACUUGGCAUUGCUUUCUUCUGUUCAACCAUGUACCAGUUCUUGAGUUCAGUGGCACGCUUGUUCAUGCAACGUGUGUCUGUCUCUGCCUGUAGCUACUUCUGGUCAUAGAUGUUGCGUUGCACAGAUGUGUACUGCCAGAAACUCUAUUCUGUCAGUAGACUACAGAUUGGAGUUUGCACGUCAGUUCAAUAAGAGCGUAUCUGUGUAUGCAAGAUGCAUGUGGCUUUGUUGCUGCAUGUGCGUCAAUCUGUGCAUACAUGACUGUUCUAAUCAGUAUUUUUGUCUCUUUAGUUGUUUUCUUGUCAUUUGAAAGCAUCUAAUCCAAGGCAUUGGCUAUUUCCAGUUCGUUGAUUUUGCAGCUGAGUUCUAUUUUAGUUGGAGUUACACCUGUUAGUUUCAGAACCCUGCAUUGAUUCUGACACUGCACUUCAGGUGGAAUAGUACCUUUUAGGCCAGAGCAGCAGUGCCACUCCUGGAUAUCACUGUUUACAACUCCUGUACUACCGAAGUGGCAAUUAAUAUUGCCUUUGAGUAUAUUGAUGUGAGGAAAGUGCUUUUCCCGACAUCAAUAUACUGUCCAACCAAUUGAAGCAUUCCCUGUUCAUUAACAUGAGGUCAUUGUAUCUUUCCGGGAAAACCAAACAACCACAGUUCCCUAGCUUUAACAUGUUCAUUGAGGAUCAGUAAUCUUCCACUCGGAUAUGUAGCCCGUUGGGAGCUUCCACUCGGGGGAACUUCAGUAUUGUGUUGGUACCUUCUUCCUGCCAUCUGCAAAGAGAAAGAUCAACACCGUGUCUUCUUUGUCAGUAAAAAGAGCCAGAUAUGCUCUGAGCAAUGGAGGAUUUUUUUUUUCAACAAGACGAACAAACCUGUAUUGAGUCACAAAAUAGUGAAGAAAAGUUGCAAUUUCCACUGUGCCGACUUCCUUCCCCGGGCACAUCCGACUACCUCCUCCGAAAAGCAUGAAGUGUGGAUGUGAUUCCAUGUUCUUCUCCUGCUUUCACUCGAGUGAAGGUCAUGGACUUGAAAUCAUUCCAGUCGAUGGCAUCCUCAGGCGCUUUCCCUUUCCUGAUAUCAAAAUGCUCUUUCUGCAGAAGUGAACAGAUCAUCAGUAAACGAGGUACUUGACCGCCAUCAUCGAAGUCGUUGACAUGGUUUCAUACCCAGAGUAUAUGAGGGUGAUGAUCAAGUCAAUGAUCUGUUCAUCACUAAGCUUUUCCCUGGUGCCCUCGACGCCGGUCAAGAGAGCAUCCAGCAUGUCGUCAUGGACCUGACCGGAGGAUCGCCGUUCGGCGAUCAUCUGCUCCAGCAUGGCCACAAACUUCUUCCUUGCCUGAAAAAGGGAGCGCUUUGUUAGAACAGUUGCUUCAGGUAGUAGUAUGAGUUUAACUGAAUACAAUCACAUAUCGGUACAAAUCUGCACUCAGAUCAUCAGCUACCUUGAACCCUUGGUAGUAGUUGGUUCCUGGAAGGUUGAUGGGCAGGGAGAUGGUGCCAAGUACAAGGGUGUACAGCUCUGCCUUGAGUGCGUCAGAAAGUGGGCCAGCAGAGACACCAGCAAUCUGCCUGAGUGCAGAUAGCAAGGCCAUCUGAAAGUGAAACCACAAGAGCUUAAACAAACACUCUACCAUGAGCUGCCAUGCAAGUAUAUGAAAUUCAGCACCACAGCCACUCCCCAACCAAAAGCAAACCAUGUACUCAUGCAGUACCACUGCUGCCACUACAAAAACAACUUCUCUUUAGACAUGUGAUGGCCAUCAUUAUGGAUAUAUAGAUUUCAUUCACUUUGGAAUAACAAUGUACUAUAAGAGAGAAUGAGAGAUGGCCUGUCUACUUUGUAUCCUUUUUUCCCUGGCUGAGGAAAGAGCUCAUCAUGGAACAAUCUCUUCUGUUAUCCAGCAGUACAAGUUCUAGAAAGCUACUAGAGAUUCCCCUUUUUGUUGGUCCAGAGAGGAAAGGGGGAUCUUCCUCCCAACCUCCCUUCUCCUUCCUUUCCUCAUUUCCCCCCAUUUCCCUUACCAGCUGCUUGCAAGAGGCACCAUCAUUCUGUCUGCUGCCAUUGGAGCAUCAACAGCAGCAGUGGAGAGUGGUAAAAUGGUAAAAGGAAAAGAAAUUUACUGUGUGGUGUGCUAGUGGUGCCACCCAUUCUUUGUUGCCAACUAGCAGCAGCAUCAGCAGCAGUGCUAAGCUAAUGUCAACACUUGAGAUUUUCUUUAAUGCAGAGUAGUAGAGUACGGUAAAAGAGACCAAGAUUUUCAACAGUGGGUCCCACAUGAAUUACCGUCCCCGAUUAAUUAUACCCAUUACUGGAGAGCAGAGCAGGUACCUCCUUGGUCUUGGCCUGGAUGUCGACGACGCCGGCGGACCAGCCGGCGAGGUGGGAGCGCAUGAAGGCGUCGAUCUUGGGGAGGAGGGAGGAGCGGAUCAUGGCGGGGCGGACGAGGGAGAGCAUGGCGCCGCGCAUGGCGCGGUGGAGCGGGCCCUGCACGGCGGCGAUGUUGUUCCGGCCGAGGAUGUCGAGCAUCGACUGCGGGUAGCCCGGGACGAAGCCGCGGCCUUCGCUGGCCAGCGCCCGACGGUUCAGCUCCGGCUCCAUGCACACCACCGUCGGGCACCCCAGGAUGUGCGUCCUGAACAAGCUCCCGUACCUGCACCAAAUCCGACCACCUCGAUUACUCACUUGACUUGUUGCUACUACUAGCAUCACUAAUCACUCAUUAGUACUCACUUUCCUUGCUGCUACUAGCAUCACUAAAAAAAAAAAAGAAGCAUAAGUGGAUGAAGGAAUGAAUGAUUGAUGGAUGCAUGCUGCUGCUAGUACAGAUUCUGUAACAACAGCAGCAGCAGCAUCAAUAAUAACAAAUGUUUGUGGUGCGGAUGUUUUUAAUU